ACAUGCCUUCAACAUAACAUUAAUGCACUGGAUCUUAUAAGAACUCCAAAGUUAAGCACGUUUGGGCUAGACUAGUACUAGGAUGGGUGACCACUCGAAAAGUACUAGUGUUUUACAUGCC
rnacentral:rRNA from 1 species